rnacentral:lncRNA from 1 species
AUGAUGUCGUACCUAUUCCCGGUAACUUCUUUCUUUCGAGUUUGUGAUUCAUGUAGUGCCUUGAAGAAGUAUAUAGAGUUUAAAAAACCCAGUGGAUAAAAUGAUAUUACCAGCGAUAUUACUUACUGUUAAGUUGCUUCAAUUUUCAGGGACAACUAAGAUGAAAAACCUUGAUGACAAUAUUGACUCCUUGAGGAUUAAACUUACAAAAGAGGAUCUGAAAGAAAUUUCUGACGCUGUGCCCAUAGAAGAGGUAGCAGGAAACAGAGACCCGGAAGGCUUUGAUAAAGCAUCGUGGAAGUUUGCAAACACACCUCCAAAAGACUGCAAGGUUUGAACUUAAAAUAGUUCUUGAUGCUGCCUAUCUUACUUGGGGCUGGGAUGCAAUACUUUAUUCAAAUAAUGGCAGAUAAAUGCCAAAUUAUCUGUACAAUCUACUACUUGGCUAUCUGCCUAUUUGAUGUUAAACUUUGAUUAUUAUGAUCUACUAUAUGUUUGGAAAUUUAGCAUGGCCAAUUUGUGAAAGGAAAAUACGCAUGUUUGAACUUUUCUAAGUUAAAGCUGAAUUCCAAGUUACUGUAAAAUCUUGCCAACUUGCUUUCCUUGAAAAUAAAGAUUAGAAAUAUCCAAAUUUUGGAUUGUAAUGAUUUUCCUGGAUUUUACUUCAUCAUAGUGUAGAUAUAUGUUGAAAUAUUUUCAGCCUUUUUGAGUUCCACGAAUGUGACAUGAAUGAAAUCUGUGAACCAUAUUUUAGCUCAAGCUGUUUCUCAACAAGACCUGGAGGACACUGGAUUGAAAAUAUAGUUUCUCAACAUACUACAUUGUCACUGCAACUUGAGUGGUUAAAUGAUAAAAGGUGAGUAUGUGUUGUUCAGAAAUAAGAAUAAUUGCAUAAAUUGUGAAGUUCACAAUACCAUUCAGGAGGCUAAAUUGACACAUUAAAAAACUUUCAAAUUCCUUCACCAACAAGGCACCAGUGGUCUUGUGGUAGAAUAAUACCCUGCCACGUAACAGACCCAGGUAUAGUAAUUAGCCCCACCUUCGAACACUUUUUAUUGUUGCCUUCUUUUGAUUAGUUCCAAAUCCUGCUUUAUUUUGUUAGUCCAUGGUACAAAGUACAAAACAGCAACACCAUUAACUCUCUUACGCCCUCCUUUAAUAAGAGUUAAGCUAAGCUACAAAGAGAGGAAAAGCUAACAGCUUUUCCAAAGAUGGCAGAAAAGAACAGAAUCCAAGUUCCAAGAGUGAAAUUUGGAUUUCCGAUUUGUAGUUUUCAUUUUUCUUUUUGUAUUUUUUUUCCUUCAAUGCUGAUAAUUUGUUUUCUCUGACUGUGUUUUUGUGCUUUCACAGGUUUCAAAGCUGGGCUUUGGAUGCAUGAGCCUGAGCGGAGGUUACAAUUCUCGGGUCUCUGAAGAGGAUGGCAUCUCAAUAAUGAAGCAUGCUUUCAACGAAGGAAUCACUUUCUUUGAUACUGCUGAUAGAUAUGGACCAUAUAUACUAAUGAAAUUCUUCUUAGAAAGGUAAUGAUUAUGAAAAUGGAAUAAAAUGAAGUUAUCUUAUCAUGGAAUAACAUUUUAAAAGAAAAUCCAAAAUAAAAAUAGGUUAUGUUUAUGCCAAAAUUUUAAAUAAAAAAAUAUAAAUUAGUAAUUAAAUUAACUUAACAAGGAUAAUGUUGCCGUAUUACACACAAAAAUAUAUUUUAUUUUGAUGAAUAUUUAACGUUUGUAAAAUAAAUUAAAUUAAUUAGGAGUAAUAUGGACUUCUUAUUAUAAAAUAACUUAAAUUGUUAGGGUAAGAGUUGAUUGUAGCAUUAUUAAAUUUAAAGGCGUAACUAGUAUUUCUAACUUAUGCUUGAGGAUGGAAUCUGUAAUUUUUCCAUGCAAAUAAGAAAUGUGUUUGUUUAAGGUAUUGGUAAAUAGCUACUCUUAGACAUUACUAAGAAAAUCAUAAGGUGGAAAUCAAAUCAUUGUUAAAAUUAUGUCAAUUUAUUUGGGGGGGAAAAAGUUCACUCCUUUCUAGUUUCUAGCCUUGAAGCAGUUGCCUAGGUUACAAGAUCAGCCACAAAGUUUGGGAUUACAGAAAUAGAUACCCCUGAGUAUGUACUCUGUUUUGUCGUGAAGCAAGCUUGAAGCACCUUGAUUUGAUUAUUAAUUGGUUUGACUUUCCUCUAAUCUUUUGGGUAAUUUCUAUAUAUGCUUUCACUAAAAACAAAUAAAUUUGCAAAGAAUACAUACAUAGAUAACUUUCUUUCAAAAUAAAAAUGAAAAAAAAAUGACGAAGAGAAAUUAUGAAUAUGAUGAUUCUUUUAAAAAAAAACUAUUAAUUGGUUUGACUUUCCUCUAAUAUUUUGGGUAAUUUCUAUAUAAGCUUUCACUAAAAACAAAUAAAUUUGCAAAGAAUACAUACAUAGAUAACUUUCUUUCAAAAUUUAAAAUAAAUAAAAAAUGACAAGGAGAAAUUAUGAAUAUGAUGAUUCUUUAAAUAAAAAAUUUUACUGAUUUUCUAACAGCACAAAAUGCUUGAGAGGAAGAGAUUCUCAUAAAUCAAAUGUGAAAGGAUUAUGUUACCAUAAUAUAAAUAUGAAAAUGAAUUUUUCAUUUCUACUUAGAGCCUUGGGCCCAAACAAUUUUUUUUUUCAAGUAUAAUACUUGAAUAGUUCCAACAAAUGAUCGGACUAAUGACAUACACAAUACUUGAAUUUUCAGUAUAGAUUUAUAUUGAUGCAACAAAAUUGAUUCUCAUCUUCAUAGGCUAAGAAAUACAAAUCCAUUACUCAACUAAAAUUAUGGCGCAGAAGUUUUUGUUUUUGUUAAGGUUAAAAAAUGAGCAUAAAAGUAUACAUUUAACUAAUAAAUAAUUAGAAAAUUGAUAAAAUUAUUAAUUUUUUUUAGAAAAUUGAUUGAACUAGUCUGCAACAUUAAGUUUCAACAUAUCGUCCAAGGAUAGCCUAGCCAAGUUGGUAGCAAGAGAUUAAAUGUUCCAAUUUAAGGGGAUAUUCAUAGAUGUAAUCUGAAACAAAAAUGAAAUAAAAGUAAAAAUAAGCAAAUAAUAAAGUAAAAUCAGAAUCGAAUAAGAAUGCUAAGUUUUUAAAGAGGAGAGAAAUUACAAGUUAAGACAAGUUCUUCUUUCUUUGCAAACACACCCCUAAAAGAUUGCUAGGUUUGAACUCAAAAUAUUUCUUGAUGCUGCCUUAGUAGCUAUCUAACGCUUGGGGUCGGGAUCAAUACUUUAUUCAAAUAAAUGCUAAAUUAUCAAUAAAUUCUACUACAUGACUCUCUGCCUAUUGGAUGGUAAUUUGUAAAUUUAAUUCUGCCGAUUUUGUGAACUGAAAUUAUCUUUCGUUGUUAACUAGAAGUUAUAGCCUCAAGUUGCAAUAAAAUUUUGGCAAAUAGAGAUUGCAAAAUCCACCAGGAAAAUGCAGGGUGGCUUUUAUGUAUUUUAAUUCAGAUUGCUAUGUUGUUGCUACAUAACUACCAUGUACCGAAUCAAAUGUAAACGCUUAAGGCUAUUUCUAGUAAAUAAUCUCCUAAAUUAAAAGAUGAAUUUGUUCCUACCUCCUUUUGGAGUUUUGGGUUCUGAUGCAGUGACUAUUCAAAUAUUGUUCUAAAAAAUUUAGAUACUUGACAUUCAAACUAUUAUGAAUAGUUAAUGGUCUUUACAUUGCUUGUAUUAUGAGGUCGGCAUGAGCCCUCAAUCAAAGAAGACACAAAGCCAUUGCAUUUGCAUUCAAGGGUAACAUAGGAGCCUAAAAUUUGCCACAAGAACAAAUAGAAACUACGGAAUAUACACUAUUGUGUUCAAAAUUCGUUCAAUUAAAAUAACGUUGUGGCACGUAUAUAAUUUAUGUUAUUAGAGAAAGUUUUUGAUGAGACUAACAUACCAUGUUAUCAUACGUUUAUCCAAUAGAAUUGUAACAUAUAUCCAUUUUGAAGUUGACCAACCAUGAAAGUGAGAGGAAACAAAAUUAAAACUUGGUGACACAAAAUAUAUUAUAUGGUCAAAUCGAGACUGUAAAUUUCUCUCCUAAGUUCUACCUGACAUUUUGCAAAGUCUAGGGGAUGUUUCUUAACUUUUAAAAUAUUUUGAACUUGUUUCCAAUUACACUGAACUUUGGGACACUUGUCAAAACGUUAUAAGUUCCUGAUUAAUCAUUGAUAACGAUAAAGAGCACGUGUCCCAGCUUAACACUUUUAGUCAUACGGAGCCGUCGAGUUGGAUAAGCCAAACCAGAAUCCUGUGUCUCAUUCUCCUCAUUGUUGACGUUAGAGUCAGCUGUCUCUCUACUUAUUGAAACUUGAAAGACACCCAAAACAAAGAAACCAAAACUACAGCUUCAAAAAUGGCAGAAGAGAAACUCCAAGUUCCAAGGGUGAAACUUGGUACCCAAGGCCUCGAGGUAAACUACCCAUAUGUAAUUUUUUUUUUAAAUCAAAUCCUGGAAAUUUGUUUUCUACAAUUGUGUGUUUUUCACGCUCUUACAGGUUUCAAAGUUGGGGCUUGGAUGCAUGAACCUGAGUGGAGGUUAUAGCUCUCCAGUCUCAGAAGAUGAUGGCAUCUCAAUGAUAAAACAUGCUUUCAGUAGAGGAAUCACUUUCUUUGAUACUGCUGAUAUGUACGGACAAAAUGCUAAUGAAAUUCUUCUGGGAAAGGUUAUGGUCAUUUCUUUGAAUUCUCUUACCUCUUAUAUAAUUCAGACAUAGGUCAAGUGGUAACUUAAGAAUCACAGUCCUGAUGAAAUAUGUUUGUUUAAGAAUUGGUGAAUAAUUACUUUUGUAUCAUAGAAGGAAAGCCUGGUCAGAUUUUUUUGAAUCUUAUUCCUUCGAUUUCAGGCCUUCAAGAUGUUGCCCAGAGAAAAGGUACAAAUAGCCACAAAGUUUGGGGUUGUAGGACUAAGAGAUAAUGGCGUGAUCGUGAAGGGCACCCCUGAUUACGUGCGCUCGUGUUGUGAAGCUAGCUUGAAGCGACUUGAUGUGGAUUACAUUGAUCUAUAUUAUCAACAUAGAGUGGACACAUCAGUCCCCAUAGAGGAAACCGUGAGCGAUUUGUUUUUUUUUUUUAUUUUUUUUUUUGGGCUAUCUGAAUUGUAGAGUUCUGUCCCAAAUUUCAAAAUUUAAAGAAUUAUUUUAGAAACUCUAUUACUUGUCAUGCUAUAGGUUGGCGAAAUGAAGAAGCUGGUGGAAGAGGGUAAAAUCAAGUACAUUGGAUUAUCUGAGGCCAGCCCAGACACAAUUAGGAGGGCACAUGCUGUUCAUCCCAUCACAGCUGUACAAAUGGAAUGGUCCCUCUGGACUCGUGAUAUUGAGGAAGAGAUAAUACCCCUCUGCAGGUUUGUUCUUCUUUUAGUGAACACUAUCCGCAUUAGUCUUUUCUUCUACAGGCCUUUGAAGGGUGUCUAAGGACCUAUUUAUUUGUUCCAAUCUAGUAUUUUGUACCUAAUGUUUGUAGAAUUUUUUAAAUUUAAUUGCAUGCAUAGAGUAGAUUAGAUUUUCUGUGCAAGUGUAUGCUAAUAAAUACAAGGCUGCCCUUCUGAUACAUUGAGGUGGGCAGGGAACUCGGCAUUGGAAUAGUUCCAUACAGUCCUCUUGGUCAUGGAUUUUUUGGUGGCAAAGCUGUUGUGGAGAGUGUACCUGCAGAUAGCUUUUUGGUACUUUUUCCAAUCAAUGUUUAUCCGCAUCAUUUUGUUUCGUAAGUCAGUACUAUAUAAAAUGUUUUAAACUAGCAAAAGUAGUUUUACAGUUUCUUUAACUGUUUUAUAUAUCGUCGUACAUAUGAAAAUGAUAUGUGUGUUUGUUUUAUAAGCAUUUUCUUCCUAGGUUCAAAGGAGAGAACCUGGACAGGAACAAGAGUAUUUAUUUUCGCAUAGAGAACCUUGCCAAAAAGUACAAUUGCACUUCUGCUCAACUAGCCCUAGCAUGGGUUCUUGGACAGGGGGAUGAUGUCGUACCUAUUCCCGGUAACUUCUUUCUUUCGAGUUUUUGAUUCAUGUAUUGCCUUGAAGAAGUAUAUAGAGUUUAAAAAACCCAGCGGAUAAAAUGAUAUUACCAGCAAUAUUACUUACUGUUAAGUUGCUUCAAUUUUCAGGGACAACUAAGAUUAAAAACCUUGAUGACAAUAUUGACUCCUUGAGGAUUAAACUUACAAAAGAGGAUCUGAAAGAAAUUUCUGACGCUGUGCCCGUAGAAGAGGUAGCAGGAGACAGAGACCCGGAAGGCUUUGAUAAAGCAUCGUGGAAGUUUGCAAACACACCUCCAAAAGACUGCAAGGUUUGAACUUAAAAUAGUUCUUGAUGCUGCCUAUCUUACUUGGAGCUGGGAUGCAAUAGUUUAUUCAAAUAAUGGCAGAUAAAUGCCAAAUUAUCUGUACAAUCUACGACUUGGCUAUCUGCCUAUUUGAUGUUAAACUUUGAUUAUUACGAUCUACUAUAUGUUUGGAAAUUUAGCAUGGCCAAUUUGUGAAAUGAAAAUAUGCAUGUUUGAACUUUUCUAAGUUAAAGCUGAAUUCCAAGUUACUAUAAAAGCUUGCCAACUCUCUUUCCUUGAAAAUAAAGAUUGGAAAUAUCCAAAUUUUGGAUUGUAACAAUUUGCUUGGAUUUUACUUCAUCAUUGUAU